rfam:Trametes pubescens strain FBCC735 TRAPTBscaffold_1532, whole genome shotgun sequence.
GGCCGACUGGCCUAAUGGUUAAGGCGUCAGUUUCCGGUGCUUAAGGAAUAUAGUAGCUGAAGAUUCUGGGUUCGAAUCCCAGGUUGGUCG